CACUCAUUAGGGGGUUGGAUUUUUGUUUGAAAAAAUCUUAACUAAAAAAAAUUGAGGGAUGACAUGAUUGCUUCCUAGAAGCGUUUGAAGGAUUAGAAAUUGUUUGAAGAGAGCAAGCAACACCUGUUGGAGAGUAAUGCCCAUCAAUGAGAUCAUGGAUUUAUUGAAAGAUGCAUGAAGUCAUUCCAAGAGGAAAUGUGAGCUGGUAUACCUGUAGCCUCCCUCCUCUGCUCCCUGAGAUGCCUUUGCACUGAAGUAAAAUUGUCAUCUACAUUAAUCAACUAGCAGUCUGCUGUGCUGGAGAGGAUGGAGUGGGACAUGUACUGCUGAAGUACAGGGAAAGAUAGUCAUCCCAGAAACCUGGCGCUGUCUUCCUCAGAGGUGCUGACAGAAAAAUGCCCAAAUGAUGAUGAAAAUGGGGAUGGGGAAGCUUUCUUUUGGGGACCAGCUUCAGGGUCUAAUGGAACAAGAAGAGAUCAAAGACUGCCAUUGGUUGAUAACCUCAAUGGGCUCCAAUGCUAUUUCUAGCCAACCAAUUUACCAAGGAACAUCACAAGAACACCAGCUUUCCACAGAGAGAGUUUGAAAAGUCAUUAAUGAAGCAAAUCGAAAGAACUGGAGCAAUUCAAGCCAAAUGGAAAUUCAUCCGAAGUCCUGGCCAAAAUAGUCAAAUACAUGUUCUUCCUCUGGAUGUGGAUAGUGUUCUUGCUCAUAAGUCCCUCAAGAUUGUCCUGGAUCAUUGCAUUGCUGAUAGCAGAGAAGCCCAUUACAUUCGAUUGUGCCACAGUGUAUCUGUGUCUGUGUACAAUGUUCUCCUGGUUCUGCUCCUUUCAUUCUGCAUCAGUUCCUGGAGGUCAUUCCAGUUCACAUGGAAUCCCUCCAGUUCAUUAUUAAAGGAACUUAAUGCUGCUCCUGUCAGUCAUUUACCUUUUAGGGGAAAUGAUUUUGUGGGUUGCUUUCCCCAAACUUAACAAUAAAGGAAUUCAGCAUGUACA
rnacentral:lncRNA from 1 species